rnacentral:rRNA from 1 species
AACGAACGCUGGCGGCAUGCCUAACACAUGCAAGUCGAACGAGACCUUCGGGUCUAGUGGCGCACGGGUGCGUAACGCGUGGGGACCUGCCCUUAGGUUCGGAAUAACUCCCCGAAAGGGGUGCUAAUACCGGAUAAUGUCUUCGGACCAAAGAUUUAUCGCCUUUGGAUGGGCCCGCGUUGGAUUAGCUAGUUGGUAGGGUAAAAGCCUACCAAGGCGACGAUCCAUAGCUGGUCUGAGAGGAUGAUCAGCCACACUGGGACUGAGACACGGCCCAGACUCCUACGGGAGGCAGCAGUGGGGAAUAUUGGACAAUGGGCGAAAGCCUGAUCCAGCAAUGCCGCGUGAGUGAUGAAGGCCUUAGGGUUGUAAAGCUCUCUUACCCGGGAUGAUAAUGACAGUACCGGGAGAAUAAGCUCCGGCUAACUCCGUG